rnacentral:lncRNA from 1 species
UCCCGGAUGCAGUGCGAACAGGCUUGGCCCUGAGCUUGGGCAAGAGGGCUUCCCUCUCGGAAUCGGGCAGGGCUGCAAUCAUCUCUACUAACUUCGGGGCCUUCGAGAGUCCGUACUUCCGACACACAGCGGACUUGAGGGCGUUAAGGUCCACAUCUUGGCCUUUGCGAGAGAGGUCUACCAUGUUGUUUACAAUUUCAGCAAUAGCCCGGACACGGGCCUCCUCUUCGGAUAGUCCGUGAGGGAUUACUCCGCCCCGGCCAGGCCGCGGUACCUUCCGGGCCUCGGCUACUGCCGCUGUUGCCAUGCUGAAGAGAUAGGGAGAGACGGAUAUCUGGAAUUGUGUUUUGGGGAUAGAAUACAGCCGACGACGUCGUUGGGUUUUCCGGCAGGAUUGCAAGGUGUAUGUAAAACCCUUUGUACAAUUUUUAACAGACGUAACUCGUGGGAAAAAAAGAGUAUUUAUUUUUUCUAAAAAGAAUACGAAAACUUAAUUGUUUAUUAUCCAAUAAAUGAUUAUAUUUGUUAAAUUGAUUUUUUCUCUAAAAAAAAUAAAUAAAUUUCACCUGGGUCCCUAACGUUUAAUUAUUUAUUUUUUCUAAAAGGGUAAGGAAAACUUAAUUGUUUAUUAUCUAAUAAAUGAUUAUAUUUGUUAAAUUGAAUUUUUCUCUAAAAAUUAAAUAAAAUUCACCUGGGUCCCUAACGUUUAAUUAUUUAUUUUUUCUAAAAGGGUAAGGAAAACUUAAUUGUUUAUUAUCUAAUAAAUGAUUAUCUCGAAUAGCUCUCAUGCUGGUGGGCUCAUAUCCAGUGUAAGACUGCGUGCUGUACUCAAAAUCCGAAUCUGGCCCACCCGGGCAGUACACGCAAAUAUUUCCGGUCGUGGCAAUAUGCGGGCAUCUGUGAGGCUUUGACAUAACGGCCACAACAGCAAUCCCGGAUGCAGUGCGAACAGGCUUGGCCCUGAGCUUGGGCAAGAGGGCUUCCCUCUCGGAAUCGGGCAGGGCUGCAAUCAUCUCUACUAACUUCGGGGCCUUCGAGAGUCCGUACUUCCGACACACAGCGGACUUGAGGGCGUUAAGGUCCACAUCUUGGCCUUUGCGAGAGAGGUCUACCAUGUUGUUUACAAUUUCAGCAAUAGCCCGGACACGGGCCUCCUCUUCGGAUAGUCCGUGAGGGAUUACUCCGCCCCGGCCAGGCCGCGGUACCUUCCGGGCCUCGGCUACUGCCGCUGUUGCCAUGCUGAAGAGAUAGGGAGAGACGGAUAUCUGGAAUUGUGUUUUGGGGAUAGAAUACAGCCGACGACGUCGUUGGGUUUAUUAAUCAGAGAAUUGCAGUGAAAUCCCUAGCCUUUAUGAAAUUGCAAAUAAAUACCAAACCUUUAUCUCUUGACGCUGUCAUCCCAAUCCUGAAUUGUGGGUAUUUUAUUUCUUGUGGUUGUGGUGUUGCCUUCCCCGACAAUAAAACAAAAGACAGUUUAGAAUGUCUUUUGAAUUAAU